GAUGAACGCUGGCGGCGUGCCUAAUACAUGCAAGUCGAGCGAACGGACGAGAAGCUUGCAUCUCUGAUGUUAGCGGCGGACGGGUGAGUAACACGUGGAUAACCUACCUAUAAGACUGGGAUAACUUCGGGAAACCGGAGCUAAUACCGGAUGAUAUUUUGAACCGCAUGGUUCAAAAGUGAAAGACGGUCUUGCUGUCACUUAUAGAUGGAUCCGCGCUGCAUUAGCUAGUUGGUAAGGUAACGGCUUACCAAGGCAACGAUGCAUAGCCGACCUGAGAGGGUGAUCGGCCACACUGGAACUGAGACACGGUCCAGACUCCUACGGGAGGCAGCAGUAGGGAAUCUUCCGCAAUGGGCGAAAGCCUGACGGAGCAACGCCGCGUGAGUGAUGAAGGUCUUCGGAUCGUAAAACUCUGUUAUUAGGGAAGGACAUAUGUGUAAGUAACUGUGCACAUCUUGACGGUACCUAAUCAGAAAGCCACGGCUAACUACGUG
rnacentral:rRNA from 1 species